GCGGAGGGGAGAGGGGCUGCGGGCUGAGCGGCCGAGGGUUUAACCAGUCCUGCCUGAUGGCACCUCCAUGAGAAAGCCAAAAUACAAGGACUGUGAGAGCUUCCGGGUGGGGAGCACGCCCGCAGGUUGGGAGGCAGCUGCCCCCCAAAGUCCACAGAGACUGAAGCCCCAGCACUCGGGACCCUCCUGGACCUCGUCAUCUGGAGAAUCACCCCCGUCUUCAGCAUAAACGAUCCCACACAGAAGUGACGGCCUACCGGAUCUGUCGUCCUCUGCCUGCCUGCCUUUGCGUUGGAGGGGCCUCCAGACGCUGCAUCCACUAUGAAGGUGGUCGAUCGACUGCAGAAGCCAUCGGCUCCGCUGAGCUGUUCAGGGAGAGAAGGUCAAACGCUGGGGUCAGACCUCAGGGAGCGUCUCCACUCAGGCUGUGGGAGGAAAAGGCUGUGGAGACAGGAGAAAGGAAGGCACUGACUUUUUAAAAUUAUUUUUUCAUGGUUCUGCACACACACCUGGGAGACGGGUCCACCCUGCCGCAGAGAAGGGAGUCAGGUGCUCAUCUGGCCUCGACGGGGACCUGGGAC